UUAUUCCCCUUGCAUAGCACUUUUUUAACAGACAAAAACGCAGAAGAAUAAAGAAACAGAAAUACCUUGACCAAUACAAAGAUGUAGAGGUUAAAUCUGUAAAGAUGAUGCAAAUGAAUCCACAGAGCAAAAAUAGACGUGGAACAGAGAGACCACUUAAAGUCACAGAAUUUGUAAGACAGGAAGGCUGGUCUACAUGUUGGGGGCCCUAAUUUUGGGUCAAGACCUGGGGGACUGCCUGUAGUUUUGCUCACAAAUAAAUCCUGGAGCUAGAGAAUGGAGUGCUUUAAUAGAGAAAUAGUUGGGCUGAAGGAUUCUGUUGGGGUUUUUGUGUCCCAUGAUAGUCUUGAUGUUGUUUAAGCUGCACUUUCACCCUGAAAAGAAUAAACCUCUAAAGAAAACACUGAACAUGAUGCAAAAUACCUCCACAUAUUUAGAUUCAAAUUCAGAUGUAGAUGUAAGGCAGGGUAGUGAAGGCUUGGGGAGUCAGAGGGAGAAGAAUAGACAGAAGUUUGAGUCCAGCAGGAUGAUCCCAUCUGUCCUGCGGAAGGCAACGUCUCCCAGCUGCCCGUACUGGAUGGAUGGUUGAUAGCUGGAAACUAGAAUAGUCACCACUCAUUCCAUCCAAUCUGAUGGAAACGGCAGGAAGCACACACUCGACCCGCAGAGCUUCGUAACAGGACGGAGGCAUCCACAAUGCACUGGAAGGAUGGUGGGGGUUGUUGGGGCCUCAGGGUGCUGACAGGGGCUAUCGUUCCUCUGGACACAGUCCACCUGUUGGGUGUGUGUGUAUGUGGAAGUACCUGAGUGGGUUAUGGACUGCCUCAAAUACCUGUGACUCCUGGUCGGAAUCCAGACCUGCUCAGCCCCUCUGUCCAGCUUCCAGGGCAUCCGACUGAGGUCACCAGCGCCGCUUCAGUCCCGUUUCCAGGCCACCCACCUGAGGACUACUGCUUCCACCCGGUCCUUCUGGCAGUGAGCCUGAGAGCACCAGCCCCUGUCCUCAGCUCCCUGGACACUUUCACCUUCUUUUGGACAAGGGGCAAGUGACUACCAAUUACAAUUUUUAUAGCUGUUGCCAUAAUCACAAAUUUCAGAUGACCAGACAGAACCACUACAGGGGCAUACCACCAGGAUAGUACAGGUUUCCAGUAUAAUAUAUGAGGACUACUUCAAACUAUUUCUAGCUAUUUACCUCAGGCGGCCUGAUUUUGUGAGCAGUGACCUCCAGAGCCCAGUGGAGUAGAAUGCAUUUGUUUGGAAGAGACAGAGGUAAUGUGUUGUGUGCAUGUAAUCUUACAUGUAUCACAGUAGCUUGUGGAAUGUCAACACUGAGGCCGAUAGUAAUUGUCCGGGUAGGAUGUCCAAUAUAAAAUAAAUAGAUGUGAAACAUAGGUCAUGUAAUUAUUUCUAGUAAAAAGAUACCCCAUAAACGUGCAAAGUCAUCAGAAUGAUAGAAUAGUGAUUAUGAUGAUUGCUUUAGACCAGUAACACUUAGCAUGAGGCAGAAACAUGCAUGGAAUAGACAUAGCUGAAUUACUUGAUCUUGCAAAGUAAUGUUACUGUGUACUAUUUACUUGAAAAGUAGCUCAGUAAUCAGAGUAUCUGCAGCUACUGAACCAUGUGAAUGUUUCAGAUUAACCUGGAUAUUUUCACUUAAAGUUUUUGUCAGACAAUCAUUGGCAUGUUUUAAAUACUUCAAACUGUUACAAAGAAUAUCAUAUUUAUAUUGUGAUCUGUCAACAACACCAUAAUAAAGUUAAUGAAAUGAGAU